AUGACCAAAACCUAAUAAAAAGAAGGGAGGCGGCGUAUAUUCUUGGAGGACACAUACACCUCACGGCUGUUUAGGGGAAUAAAAGUCAAAAAGGAAGGCGGCAGCUUCUUGAGGGGUCGCACAUAUAUUCAUAGACAUCAAUCUGGGACGAAUUCCAUAGAACAUCAGAGAUAUAUAAUAUCGGCUAGGGAGGAGUUCGAUCAAGAGAAAAAGAAUUAUAAUUCUUUUGACACGACUGCGACAUAAGGAAAAAAGAAGAAAAGCCGAUUGGUUCAAGAUUCAAGGCCGUGAUUCAAGAUUCGAUUACGGGUCGGAAAUAAAGUUUUCUUCAAAAGCAUUCUAAGCUCUACCGAGACUGUAGCAAGAGGAAGGGUCCAGAGCUUGGACCCAAAUGAUAUAGUUGGUGGUACAGAGAUUGGACCAGAAUGGAGUGAGGUAAACGUUCAAGUACCAAUAAAAAAAAUGAAAACUUGGUAAUAUCAUAUGGUUUAUUUUUUACAAUUCAAGAUUGUAUUGGUGCAUCCAUCGCAUGGCCUUAUCCAUUCAUCUCGGUAGUCCAUGAGGAUUGAGGAUGCAUGAUGACUCAAGAUUUUAUGCUUCUUAUUUUUUUAAUUGCUCUUAAUUU
rnacentral:lncRNA from 1 species